rnacentral:misc_RNA from 1 species
GAUGAAGAACGUAGCGAAAUGCGAUAAGUAAUGCGAAUUGCAGAAUUUCCGUGAGUCAUCGAAUCUUUGAACGCACAUUGCGCCCGCCAGUAUUCUGGCGGGCAUGCCUGUUCGAGCGUCAUUUCAACCCUCAGGCCCCCAGUGCCUGGCGUUGGGGAUCGGCACCGGGUCGCGCAAGCGGCCUCGCCGGCCCCGAAAUCUAGUGGCGGUCUCGCUGUAGUCCUCCUCUGCGUAGUAGCACAACCUCGCACUGGAACGCGGCGGCGACCAUGCCGUUAAACACCCCACUUCUGAAAGUUGACCUCGGAUCAGGUAGGAAUACCCGCUGAACUUAAGCAUAUCAAUAAGCGGAGGA